UACGGGGGGGGCAAGCGUUGUUCGGAAUUACUGGGCGUAAAGCGUGCGUAGACGGUUAUUUAAGUCGGGUGUGAAAGCCCCGGGCUCAACCUGGGAAUUGCAUUCGAGACUGAAUAGCUAGGGUACGGUAGAGGGAAGUGGAAUUUCCGGUGUAGCGGUGAAAUGCGUAGAUAUCGGAAGGAACACCAGUGGCGAAGGCGACUACCUGGCCUGUUCUUGACGCUGAGGCGCGAAAGCUAGGGGAGCAAACGGG
rnacentral:rRNA from 1 species